UUCUGGGAUAGCUUAGUUGGUAGAGCAUAAAACUCUUAAUCUCAGGAUUGUGGAUUUGAGCCCCACAUUGGACA